CGCGUAGGUGGUUCUGUAUGUCUACCGUGAAAGCGUACGGCUCAACCGUAUUUUGUCGGUAGAAACUGCAGGACUUGAGGCUGGGAGGGGCUGGUGGAAUUCCCUGUGUAGCGGCGAAAUGCGUAGAGAUGGGGGGAGAACACUCGUGGCGAAGGCGGCCAGCUAGACCAGUUCUGACACUGAGGCGCGACAGCGUGGGGAGCAAACA
rnacentral:rRNA from 1 species